rnacentral:rRNA from 1 species
GACGAACGCUGGCGGCGUGCCUAAUACAUGCAAGUAGGACGCAGUUGCGAACGGGUGAGUCACGCGUAGGUAACUACCUAUUAGAGGGGUAUAACUAUUGGCAACGAUAGCUCAUACCGCAUACUAGUAGAUGGACCUUCGUUGUCUUAGCUAGUAGGUAGGGUAAUGGCCUACCUAGGCAACCGUACAUAGCCGACCUGGGAGGGUGGUCGGGCAAACUGGGACUGAGACACGGCCCAGACUCCUACGGGAGGCAGCAGUAGGGAAUCUUCGGCAAUGGGGGGAACGCUGACCGAGAAACGGCGCGGGAGGGAAGAAGGUUUUCGGAUCGUAAAGCUCUGUUGUUAAGGAAGCGGUACUUAACCAGAAAGGGACGGCUAACUACGUGCCAGCAGCCGCGGUAAUAC